ACAAGUUAACACCGACUAAAAUGACUUCUUAGUUCAGAGCCUCACAAGUCACAUCCGUACAGUAUUCUUGUAACCUUUCUUCGUCGGAAUGAGUUACAGUUUGAAGUAAGAAAAUGGCACAAAUUAAAUCACGUGAUCAGAGAAAGCCGUUGGAGUGGUGGAAGCUGAUUGGUCGGUGUACAGUGUCAUGUAUCAGUGUCUUGCUUUCUCAAUUUGCUCUCUCUUUGGUCCCUCGCUUCUUCUCUGCUUCCCCACUUAUCAUCCAACUCAUUCUCUCAGCUCUGGUGUUGUUAGUGGUUGUGGGUUUGGGGAGAUGUAGUAAAAGGCUUCUUGGAGUUUCUGGGUCAGCUUCGGCUUUUGUUUUCUUCAAUAUACUCUUCAUUUGGGCUGUUUAUUUAGCUGUUCUUAGACCAGCUGUAUUAUGUCUAAUGGAUAUUGCAUUUAACGGAGCAAUCACCAUGCUCAUCAUUGGGCUGUGUAGUAUCAUUUCAAGCAAUCCUGGUUUGGUAACAUAUGGGUCUUCAGAUGAACUUGUUGAAAGUUCAGUUGCUGAAGUUGAAGCUCAUAAUCGGAUACUGGAGCCAUCGGCAAGUGUCUUAUGUCAUGAAUGCCCAACUGAAGGUUCUGUUUUGGGCAGGAGGGUAAGAUAUUGCAGAAUCUGCAAGGGAUACAUAAAGGGAUUCGAUCACCACUGUCCUGCUUUUGGGAACUGCAUAGGCCAAAACAAUCAUGUCCUCUUCAUGGUUCUUUUAGUUGGAUUUCUUUCUACUGAAGCUUCUUACGUAGCAUGUUCGUCCCAAUUUGCCGCAAAAUCCCAGAUUGUAGAUAAAACCAGAUUGGAGACUAGUCUGUCUGGAAAUCUGGCCAUUAGCACAAUGCUGUUCUCCAUUUUCCAAUUGCUAUGGCAGGCAGUGUUUAUGACGUGGCAUAUAUAUUGUAUAUGUUUCAACAUCAGAACAGAUGAAUGGAUAAACUGGAAGAAGUAUCCAGAGUUCCAAGAUGUUGUUCAUUCUCAACAAGAAUUGGAUGUUUCAGAUGGGUGGAAUAAACAAGGAACCGAGUCUUUUGCUCCUGCCUGUGAUGAAAUUGAGAGGCUGGCAUGAGAACCUAUCCUACAAAACGUACAAGUCACCUCUAAAUUGGCAAAAUCAAGGCUAUCUAUCUAUGGUUUUUUGCUAAGCAAAGACAGACUAAACAAAGGGAAGGAGACCAAUCCGUGGAACAUCCUACUUGAGCAUGAUCCAGCACCUACCUAUUGAGUAACCAAUGUCCGAGCGGCUUAGAUGGGAAACGGAGGGACCUCAGACACUCCAUCAGGUGGGUUCAGACUGUUCAGUUAUAGUUUAACCCGAGUCUCAGUUCGUUUAAUCUCCGUUUAUUUUGUUAAAACUGAAAACUUUUAAAAAUUAGCUGAAAUAAUAUAACGAGACGCAUGAAUAGUACUAAAAAGUGUAAUAGAACCUAUAAAUAAUUACAAAAAUAAGUUGAAUAGUAAAAUAAGUUACGCCAAAUAAUCUUUUGCUGGAUGAGGUCUAACUCUCAUAUUUUUGCCGAAGAAGAAAAAAGAAACCUAAACGAUUAGAAUAAAACUUUCCAGAGUAGAAACAAAUCAUCAAUUAAGAUGGUCAUGAAACACAAAUGAAAUAGCUUUUAGCUAAAACCCCAUAAAGCACAUACAUAGCCCAGCACUUCUACCAUUUUUAACACAAAAAAACAACCCACGUUACUCAAAACCCAUAAUUUACAUAUCUACAUAGCUUAGCAAUUCUCCCUUGAUUUCUGAAAAGCAAAAUGAACCGUUGGAGGAUCUCCUAGUCAUGUUAGAUUUGGCUGCUAAGGCAACUCCUCAAGUACCUUAUUC